AAGAAACUGAGAACCUCAUGCAUGCAGCAGUGUCCUUAGCCCUGUUUUCUAUACUUUGCUUCUUGGGGAUACUGUGUAUGAAAGAAAGAAAGGAGAGACACCACAGCACUACUCCACCAGCCAUGGAGGUUCUCUGAUGUCACUGAUAGUGUUCCCAUCUGGUGCUGGAGCUUGAAUGCUGAGCCUCAGCACAGCAGGGCAUGUGCUCUACCAGGGAGCACAGAUGCAGCUUGAGGAUGAUUUCAUGAGCUGCUGAUACAAAAUGUACAGUAAAUGGAUAUUCAGUAACCAGAGUCUGAUUGCUCUUGGUCAGAGACGCUCCCCACCUAAGAAUACGUUUAGGAAGAAAACCCAGACAGAGGAGGCCUGAGGACACCUGCUGAUUUCUCGUGUGCCUGUUUGGCUGCGCAAAUGAUGUGUCUGUGGGGAGUGACACCUGGCUUCUUGUGACAAUGGCACCCAGUGGCGUGGAACCCUGCCUUCUCCUGUCUACCACCUUCUCCUGUCCCAAGCCUGUGACCAAGCCACUGGAGGCUGCAGACAAAUGCAGAACCUAAUGAAUAAAUGCAAUUUUAAAAAGGCAAAUAAUGCAUCAACAUCCUUAAAAAAAGGAAGAAAAACAGGGGACAAUCAUAAAGAAGUAUGCAUUAGAAUGGAGAGGUGCAGAAUGCUUUCUGUCUUUUCCAAUAUGGAUGUCAGGAGCCAACAUUUGUGAGAAGCAAAAUGUGCCUCAGCUAGGAAGUAGUUACCUGCACAUUGCUGAGAACACACCUAGGGGAAUUGAAUCAGCUAUGAACAAAUAAAGUGACUAUAUGCAUACGGACACAGGAAGCUUUUCCCUCCAAGUCUGAUUUUAACAAAUGAUAACAAACUGCCAUCAAUCCAUGAAAUGUGAUCACAUUUUGUAUUGUUGAAACACCAAACAAUUAUACA